rnacentral:rRNA from 1 species
AGAGUGAACGCUGGCGGUAGGCCUAACACAUGCAAGUCGAACGGCAGCACGGUAAGAGCUUGCUCUUAUGGGUGGCGAGUGGCGGACGGGUGAGGAAUACAUCGGAAUCUACCUUUUGGUGGGGGAUAACGUAGGGAAACUUACGCUAAUACCGCAUACGCCCUUCGGGGGAAAGCCGGGGACCAGCAAUGGCCUGGCGCUGAUAGAUGAGCCGAUGUCGGAUUAGCUAGUUGGUGAGGUAAUGGCUCACCAAGGCGACGAUCCGUAGCUGGUCUGAGAGGAUGAUCAGCCACGCUGGAACUGAGACACGGUCCAGACUCCUACGGGAGCAGCAGGUGGGGAAUAUGGACAAGUGGGCGCAAGCCUGAUCCAGCCA